rnacentral:rRNA from 1 species
AUUGAACGCUGGCGGAAUGCUAUACACAUGCAAGUCGAACGGCAGCACGGGGGCAGCCCUGGUGGCGAGUGGCGAACGGGUGAGUAAUACAUCGGAACGUGCCCGGUCGUGGGGGAUAACGUAGCGAAAGUUACGCUAAUACCGCAUACGAUCUGAGGAUGAAAGCGGGGGACCUUCGGGCCUCGCGCGAUCGGAGCGGCCGAUGUCAGAUUAGGUAGUUGGUGGGGUAAAGGCCUACCAAGCCGACGAUCUGUAGCUGGUCUGAGAGGACGACCAGCCACACUGGGACUGAGACACGGCCCAGACUCCUACGGGAGGCAGCAGUGGGGAAUUUUGGACAAUGGGCGCAAGCCUGAUCCAGCCAUUCCGCGUGCAGGACGAAGGCCUUCGGGUUGUAAACUGCUUUUGUACGGAACGAAAAGGCUCUGGCUAAUACCUGGGGCUCAUGACGGUACCGUAAGAAUAAGCACCGGCUAACUACGUG